GUGAGGGAAACAGAGUUAGAGACAUUGCCGGACAUAAGGUCCUAUUCUGGAAGGGAUCCAGAAGCUUCUUGAUAGGGACUACAUAAAGGUCCUAAAGGAGCAGGAAGGAGAAAGUUUGAUUUCCUUCCAACAAGUUUAAGCAGUAUUCUGCAGUGCUGUUUUCAAUUUAAGCUUUUUAGUUUUGAGAUCUUUAGAUCCGAGUUUGUUUUUUAAGAGACUUCCUAAGGAAGGAUCUUUAGAAACAGAGGUAUUUUUUUUUCCAUUUUGCCACAAGCCUUAGUUUCCCCCAUUCUAUAGCUCCUCAUCUUUCUCUAGAUGUCUCUAGAGAUGGAGAGAUGACAAAAUGCUCCCUGAUUAGGGGGACUUUUGUCAGAGAAUGUAGGAAUUCCCAUUAAGGCAUCCCUGAGAGAAUUCUGCUCGUGUUGAGCUCCAACGACUCAAAUCUUCCCAGGUAUUUGAGUGUUCUAAUUAUAGAAUAGACAACAAGAAAAGGCUUUACCUCAUUGAGAUUCUUGGGGAUUUCUGGUCAGGGAACCAAAAUUAUGAAGUGCAAAUGAUGAGGAUAAUGAUAGUGAAGAGGUGCAAGAAUUGGGGUGGGGAAUCCCUUCUGGUCAGCACAGAUCCAAUGCAAAAGAGUUUGCAAACCCGAAAAUCUGUAUAGCAAAAAAGGGAAUUUUAUGGUUCACUAAGAAGGAAGCUCUCUUAGUGGGCAAAACUCCUCAUUAGGAAUUUGGCAAAGGUGUGUUAACAGAGACCCCUGGUUAUAUAGGCAAAUGUUAGCCGGGAUUGGAGCUGUCUGAGCUAAUCAAUAGAGGACCAUCAGAGAUCUCCAAUUAAAUAAAAUCACUUAACUGGGAGUUUGAAAGCUUUUCCCAGAGUCUGGGAACUCCCUGGAGGGGCUCUGGGUCACCCCCAAAAGAUCUGUUUCAAUGGAGGGUGAUUUGACCAUGAUCUCCAAUUGAAUAAAUUAACUUGGGAAGGACUUGUCUGGGAAAGGUAUAUUUUCCUCAGGAUUUGAGAGUACAUUUGCCCCCCUACCCCCACAAAGGUUACAUCAUUUUUCCCCAAAAAGAUCUGAGUUUACAUCAGGUUGACUUAUUGAUAGAUUUGUAGUCUCUAAAACUCAGGAAGGUCAGAGUCAGAAUACUAAAGUGAGCAGGAUAAAUAAAUUGUACUCCUAAGGAGGGAAAUAUGAUUUUUUUUCACAACCUAGAAAUGUUUGAUAAAGAAGUCUCUUGACCAGGUGAUACAUUAAUCAUGGUUUCAGGUAAUCAGAAUAAAUACAGAUCCCUUUAAAGAUUCUAGCACUUUAGAAUUUAAUUCUAUUGUGUUCAGAUGAUACCCAGAAUAUCUAAAAUAACCAUUAGACAGAUCCCAGGCUUUCCACCACAAAGGAGACAAUAUGCUGUAGGGGAGAAAACUUUGACCUUUAUUAACUGCAUGGACUUGGGUAAAAUACUUCCAUUUUCUAGGACUUGAUUUUCUAAUAUUUCAAACUAAAGUACUGGACUAAAAGAAUUCCUAAUCUUUUUUAUGUCAUAGACCCUUCAGUAGUCUAAUGAAACAUAUGAGUAUCUUAUCUCAAAAAUGAAUUUUAAAAAUUUUAUUCUUAUAUAUGUAUGUGGAUAAAUAUGUGUUUAUAUAAUACGUGAAUGUAAAUGUGUAUUAUAUAUAUGUAUAUAUACAAUUACAAAGGAAACCAAUUUUAUUGAAAUGCCAAUAUUAGAAUAUUUUUUAAACCAAGCUCUCAUAACCUUUGUUAUACAAAGCCCUGAAGUAAAUUAUUCUAAAAGUCACCUCCUUUAGGCAAACCCUAUGAUCUUUAUCCUUUUAUCCCUAUCUCUCCCUGAGAGUCUGCUGCUGAAUAUUUUUUGUCUGGUCUAGUUAAGUGUUGGCUUAACUAGCUGCAAAAGCAUGAAGAUAUAUAUGACUCACUCUGAAAACCAUUAAAUUCUAUCAGAAUGUAACAGGGAGAAUUGAAGAAAGGAAGUAAAAGGCUGAAUAAGACUGACUGGGAUGAUUUUAAAAGAAAUAUAUACAAAGAAAUUGACUUAAAAUUACAUAAAAAUAGAUAUUAGAAAAUAAUUCUGAUUUUACUACUUGACAUGAAUGCCUUACACAUAUAAACUGUCUUCAGUAAAUACGUUGUGUCUGUAAUUUGUUCCACUGGGUAUUUCAAUUUCAUUUUGUAUAUUACAAUAAGCAUAAGUUAACUCUUUUAAAUAAAUUUAAAGUAUUCAGUCUCUGACUUGUAUAUCUUCUUCUCCAAGCACUUCAUUCAAGCAAAGCCUGAAGCAUCCUGGUUGCUCAGUCAUAGCUACUCAAACACUUAGGGCCAGCCAGUACUUCAUGAUAGCUAAACCAAAAUGAUGUAGAAAAAUUUUCAGUAGCCUCAAAGUCGGUUCACUGAGAUCAGUGAGGAAAAAGAAGACUGACUCCCAUCAGACAAAACACAGCAUCCUCAAGAAAGUUGAAAUCACAGGCAUCUCAGAGAAGGGAGAAUUGGCCCUGACCCACAUUUUCAUGGAGCAAAAGUGAAGUUGGAAUGCUUUUUUUUUCCUUUUCAUUGGGGAAGAUUUAUUCACUGGUGUGAAAAGGAAAAUUGGGUCCUUUUUUGAGGUAUUUAAAAAAAUUUUAUAUAGAACUUUUCUCUUAAAACAUGCAUCACACCAAUUACUUGAUGGAGAAGGGAGAAGAAGGAAGGAAGAUUGGCACAGAGAGUUCUGCAAAAGACAAACUGGGGAAGCAAGGGGCCUCUAACUUUCCUGAAACAACUUCUGUUGCAUCCAUUAGAGACCAUGAUUGAGAAAGAUGUGGGUGAAUUCAUGGCAACUCCCUGCUACACAACAAAAUAAAA
ensembl:lncRNA